rnacentral:rRNA from 1 species
GCAAGUUCGAGGGGUAACAGGGAAUGCUUGCAUUCCGCUGACGACCGGCGCACGGGUGCGUAACGCGUAUGCAACCUACCUUCUACAGGGGGAUAGCCCAGAGAAAUUUGGAAUAAUACCCCAUACGAUCUUUACUUGGCAUCGAGUAAAGAAGAAAACUUCGGUGGUAGAAGAUGGGCAUGCGUCCUAUUAGUUAGUUGGUGAGGUAACGGCUCACCAAGACUCCGAUAGGUAGGGGCCCUGAGAGGGGGAUCCCCCACACUGGUACUGAGACACGGACCAGACUCCUACGGGAGGCAGCAGUGAGGAAUAUUGGACAAUGGGGGCAACCCUGAUCCAGCCAUGCCGCGUGCAGGAAGACUGCCCUAUGGGUUGUAAACUGCUUUUAUACAGGAAGAAACUGCGCUACGUGUAGCGUACUGACGGUACUGUAAGAAUAAGGAUCGGCUAACUCCGUGCCAGCAGCCGCGGUAAUACGGAGGAUCCAAGCGUUGUCCGGAAUCAUUGGGUUUAAAGGGUCCGUAGGUGGUCCAUUAAGUCAGAGGUGAAAGCCUAUCGCUCAACGAUAGAACGGCCUUUGAUACUGAUAGACUUGAGUUAUUGUGAAGUAGUUAGAAUAUGUAGUGUAGCGGUGAAAUGCAUAGAUAUUACAUAGAAUACCGAUUGCGAAGGCAGAUUACUAACAAUAUACUGACACUGAGGGACGAAAGCGUGGGUAGCGAACAGGAUUAGAUACCCUGGUAGUCCACGCCGUAAACGAUGGUCACUAGCUGAUUGA